AAGAGAAAAAAUAAAAAAUUGAUUAGAUAAAAGAAAAUAUCAUUAAUUGUUUUAAGUUAGAAGAUAGUAAGUAAUUAGACAAAAAAAUCUAUAUUAAAAUUAUUACAACAAUAAUUAAAAAGUUCUAAGAUUACAAACAUUUUUAUAGAAAUAAACUUAUGACAUUUCAUCCAUAAAAAGAGAGAGAAAUAGAAGUAGGCAUUCAAUGAAAAACAAGAUUGCCAACAAAAAAGAAAAUCUUAAUGCUCUUGCUAGGGAAUGUGAGACGUGAUUUGUUCAUCUCCUUGCCAGACUCACCGUUGAGAUUGAAAAACCAGGUAAACAAACAACAUGAAAAUCUGAGAGCCCAUCAAAACUAUUAAUCUUCCCAUUGACAACAUUUUUACAGUCUAGUUCAAAAUCCACAUUUUGGACAUUUUGAUUCUUCAACGACAUUGCCUGUAAAAAAUCCCCAUGCUUUAGCUUAGAUGGGUCAGGGACACCUUAUAUUUAAGGUGAUUUAAGAUAAAUUGUUUAUCUCUGCGUGUUAUAUUUUAUUUAUAUUUUUCAUCGUUGAAUGGUUGAAUGAUGGAUGGUAUUUGAAAACAAUUGGAUGAUGACAAAAUUAUCAAAGAUUGACAUUUUUCAUUUCUAUUUAACUAAGGCAAGCGCAGCAAAACAAAAACCGUUUGGUAUUUUACAGCAGGCUUCCUCUCGGGAGAGAGAUGAGCAUCUUGAAAUCCUCUUGAAACCACUUGUUACUCCUCUCUCUCUUGAUCACCUUGCUAACUUCUUCAAGUGAAGCAGCUCCUACAUACACCACACAUGUCUCCACAAAGGGAUCAUAUUACCAACCCAACACAACAUUCCAAACCAACUUGAACUUCAAGGGACUUUUUUUAUUAGCAUAGUGGGAUAAAGCUUGUGUUGAAAAUCUUACUAGUUGGAAUCUGCUCUCCUUGGGAAGCUCAAGAACAAGAAGAAUAUGAUGAUGGAAUUGACAUUUUUGACUCAUUGCAAUUCAGCUUUAACAGCAUACGAGAUGCUACAAAUGACUUUUGUGAUUCCAGUAAACUCGGACAAGGAGGAUUUGGGUUGGGGCUGUUUACAGGGUGGGCUUUCCGAUGGACAAGAGGUUGCUGUCAAAAGGUUGUCCACAGAUUCUAGACAUGGGGAUAUAGAAUUAAAAAAUGAAGUGCUUUUAGUGGCCAAGCUUCAGCACCGAAACUUAGUUAGGCUGCUUGGUUUCUGUCUAGAAAGGAGAGAAAGACUACUUGACUAUGAAUUUGUUCCAAAUAAAAGCCUUGAUUACUUCAUAUUUGCUAGGUUUAGUUUGAAUGUUUGUUUAAGUGGACCAUACCUCUAUUACUUCAAUUGUGGCUUAGGACUAAGCUUAAUUACAUAUUCCUAAGAUUCAUUUGGCUUGUUUGUCUAUGUAGAUCAAACCAAGAGACCAUAAUUAAAUUGGGAAAAGCACUACAAAAUCAUUAAAGGUGCUGCUCGAGGCAUUCUCUACCUCCACCAGAUUCUCUAUAGCACAUUAUCCAUCGGGAUCUCAAAGUAAGCAACAUUCUCUUAGAUGAAGAGAUGAAUCCAAAAAUAUCGGAUUUUUGGUUUGGCAACACUGUUUGGUGUGAUCAAACUCAUGGAGACACUAAUACGAUUGUUGGAACCUAGCAUGGCAAAGCUGGAGAGAAGGAAGAGCUACAGAUAUCGUAGAUCCCACAAUAAAUAAUGGUUCACAAAAUGAAAUAAUGAGAUGCAUCCACAUUGGGCUACUCUGCCUUCAAGACAAUAUAGCUGCCAGACCUACCAUGGCUUCAGUUUUACACGUGCUUAAUAGCCAUUCUUGCACUCUCCCACUACCCUUAGAACCUGCAUUUUAUGUGGAUAGUAGAACUGAAAACCUUCCGGACAUACAGUUAUGGGAGUUUAAUUCAAGGACAAUAAUGCGAAUACACAACUACAUCAGCUCAAGAAUCGGUCAAUGAGGCUUCUAUUACUGACUCAUAACCUCGCUAGAUUUUGAUUAUAAUGGUGGUAGUCAUAAACAUGGUCGAUCUAGAUAAAAAAACAAAUUCAAUUCUUAAACCAAAGUGCAUCAUAUACAUAGUUACAUACACAUUUAAGUAAUUCUUUCGUAGUCUUGUCUACUGUCUAGAGUCUAGACAAACCAAAUGUCCCUUUGUUGAAAGUGAGACAGAAAUUUUUAAGUUGUAGCGUGAUACCAACGUUUGAUUUAAUUAUAAAAUGUAUAGCAAUUCUUGCUAUGAGCACAGCUUGCCCUAUAUGAGCUGUGUCUGCACAAUACAUAGGACAAAAUUAAAACUCCCCCGGACUUUCAUUUUCAGUAGGAUGAUAUCGUGCAUCUAAAUAAGUUUUCAACAGUUGUCGAGCACUAUAUCACUCAAAACUUAUUACCGAUGUUGUUUUUUUCCUAUUUCCUACAAU